UCGCACGACGCCUCCCCUACAGUUCUCCGAUUCUCGUUUUCCGCAAGGAAUGUCCUCCUCGGACCCCUCUGCUGGGCUGGGUCACCACAAUACGUCGCAUCUCGUACCUGCAUCAGGAACCUCGAUGAUCGCCGCGCUCAGGUUAUAUUGUGCCACGGUUGUCAGUAGCUGACAAGCCAGUCCCAUGCGAGGGUACGCGUCUCGGAACUUAACCCUAAUCUAUUUGUUGGUGUAUUGCGUGCCCUGUUCGUCCGAGCCGCCCUCUAAAUCCAACCUGUCUUUCCUGUGAGGCUCAUGCCGCUGAAAAGUGGUUCUUGGGCCAACCAGGGCAUGGAGGAUGGAAAGGCGGCGGAGAUCCCCCCAGACGUCCUUCCCGGACGCGUGAGAGUCGGCACCUAUGAGUCGCAAGGGUAAGAACCUCAGGCCAGAGGUCGCUCGUCAGGUCUCGGCAUCUGGGCUUUGAACGCUGGUCAUCAUGGGUCGUUUUGGUGUGUCGUGUGGUCACCAACACGCAGGUGCGGGCGUCUGCAGCUCCGGCUUGCCGCGGCUGCCGCCUGCCACCUGGUCUUGUUGUAGCUGAGAAGGGUACGGCACAGGCUUCACACGGUCGAUCCUCGGACAUUCCCACAUUCAGUGCACACGCCUCUGGCCGCCUUGCCUGAACCUCUGCGCUGGUCGUCGAGUAGCAAGGGUCAGACGGCCUCAGACAGGAAUGUCGUGUGAUAUUGACGCAGACUGCCAUACCGUCAUGCCCUCGGUCCUCUCUCUCAACUUCGACCUCUGAGCUGUGGACGUCCAGCUGUCCAAUCCGUCCCACCACCAGAACCACGUCACGGCAACAGCCACCGAUGUGUCAUGCAAUGCAUGAGAUCCGGCCAGGCGCAUUAACUUGAGCCCAUGGGCCCUGCCCCAAGGGUAAUCAAGGCACCCGACGCCUUGCUCACUACACCGCCCGGUGGUGUGCAUGACCCCUCUCAGCUACCAGAAAUGGACUGCGCGAGAGACGAUAGCGCAGUUUUUGAGGAUGUCUUUUGUCUGCGCGCUACUUGCCCUCCUUCGUUGCUCUUGGUGGCCCGCUGGAGAGGACACAAAAACUAGCCCUUGUUGGCAGUGCGAUCACACGGAAAGAGCUUCUUCCUGGCACGACUGAUGGCCCUUGUCACAGCAUCCUGUAGUGUCUUUUUUGUUUUGGUGGCGUGGGCGCUUCUAUGACGACAGGGCUCCUUUGGGUACGUUUACGAUGCGGGCUCUGGCUGAGUUGUGGGUGUGAGUACCAUGGGACGGACUGAUCGAUCAGGUUCGCGGGGCUCUGUUCACUUGGUAUGCUGCGCCUGGCGAGUUUCUUUUGCUUGGUGUACAGCAGGAUCGGGACCCAUCCCGAUUUGGAGUCAAAGUUUUGUGCUUGUCCGGUUCUGUUGUCGCCCUUGUAAUAGGCUCUUGCUCUGGCAGCUUCAUGCAAGUGUCGCACGCUGUUAUCUGAUCUCCAUUUGGAAAGGGACAGGGUUCGUGAAGAGCAGUCCCAGCUGCUCUCUCUCCAGCAAUGGCGAGAGAGCGGCCCCCUUUUU
rfam:Diaporthe helianthi strain 7/96 Scaffold_7594.1, whole genome shotgun sequence.